rnacentral:rRNA from 1 species
AGCAGCCGCGGUAAUUCCAGCUCCAAUAGCGUAUAUUAAAGUUGUUGCAGUUAAAAAGCUCGUAGUUGAAUUUCGAAAUUUUUUUAUCGGUUGAAUCAACAGGUUCGUACUGAUUUUAAGAAUUUCUACCUUCUGGAGAACCUUAAUGUCAUUUAUUUGAUGUUUUGGGAACCAGGACUGUUACCUUGAAAAAAUUAGAGUGUUUAAAGCAGGCUUAUGUCUGAAUAUAUUAGCAUGGAAUAAUGAAAUAGGACGGCAUGGUUCUAUUUUGUUGGUUUCUAGGAUCACCGUAAUGAUUAAUAGGGAUAGUUGGGGGCAUUAGUAUUCAAUUGUCAGAGGUGAAAUUCUUGGAUUUAUUGAAAGACUAACUUCUGCGAAAGCAUUUGCCAAGGAUGUUUUCAUUAAUCAAGUAACGAAGUUAAGGGGAUCGAAGACGAUCAGAUACCGUCGUAGUCUUAACCAUAAACUAUGCCGACGUAGGAAUCGGACGAAGUUAAUUUUUAANGUACUCGUUCGGCNC